rnacentral:rRNA from 1 species
GUCGAACGAUGAAGCUCCUGCUUGCAGGGGUGGAUUAGUGGCGAACGGGUGAGUAACACGUGAGUAACCUGCCCCUGACUGCGGGAUAAGCCCGGGAAACUGGGUCUAAUACCGCAUAUGACACCUGGCCGCAUGGUCUGGGUGUGGAAAGUUUUUCGGUUGGGGAUGGGCUCGCGGCCUAUCAGCUUGUUGGUGGGGUAACGGCCUACCAAGGCGACGACGGGUAGCCGGCCUGAGAGGGCGACCGGCCACACUGGGACUGAGACACGGCCCAGACUCCUACGGGAGGCAGCAGUGGGGAAUAUUGCACAAUGGGGGAAACCCUGAUGCAGCGACGCCGCGUGAGGGAUGACGGCCUUCGGGUUGUAAACCUCUUUCAGUAGGGAAGAAGCC